rnacentral:piRNA from 1 species
UCAAUUGUAUUCAAUUACGUA